rnacentral:rRNA from 1 species
AACAAACGCUGGCGGCGUACCUAAUACAUGCAAGUCGAACGAGGAAUACCUUCGGGUUAGUAUGAGUGGCGCACGGGUGAGUAACGCGUAAAUAAUCUGCCCUUUAGUGGGGAAUAACAGUUGGAAACGACUGCUAAUACCGCAUAAGACCACGAGAGCUGCGGCUUUUGAGGUUAAAGAGGCUUGUCUCGCUAAUGGAUGAGUUUGCGUAUGAUUAGCUUGUUGGUGGGGUAAAGGCCUACCAAGGCGACGAUCAUUAGCUGGUCUUAGAGGAUGACCAGCCACACUGGAACUGAGACACGGUCCAGACUCCUACGGGAGGCAGCAGUAGGGAAUAUUGCGCAAUGGGGGAAACCCUGACGCAGUGACGCCGCGUGAGUGAUGAAGGCCCUCGGGUCGUAAAGCUCUGUUGUAGGGGAAGAAAUGCCAGUGUAACCCACUGGAACUGACGGUACCCUAUUAGAAAGGACCGGCUAACUACGUGCCAGCAGCCGCGGUAAUACGUAGGGUCCUAGCGUUGUUCGGAAUUACUGGGCGUAAAGAGUAUGUAGGCGGGUUUAUAAGUCAGAUGUGAAAGCCCAGGGCUCAACCUUGGAACUGCAUUUGAAACUGUAGAUCUUGAAUAUGGAAGGGGUUAGCGGAAUUCCUGGUGUAGUGGUGAAAUACGUAGAUAUCAGGAGGAACAUCUGUGGCGAAGGCGGCUAACUGGUCCAAUAUUGACGUUGAGAUACGAAAGCGUGGGGAGCAAACAGGAUUAGAUACCCUGGUAGUCCACGCUGUAAACGAUGAUCACUUGGUGUCGGUGGUAUUGAUCCCAUCGUUGCCGGAGCUAACGCGUUAAGUAUCCCGCCUGGGGAGUACGGUCGCAAGGCUGAAACUCAAAGGGAAUUGACGGGGGCCCGCACAAGCGGUGGAGCAUGUGGUUUAAUUCGACGCAACGCGAAGAACCUUACCUGGGCUCGAACGGCUAGUGACAAAGGGUGAAAGCUCUCUUUCCCUUCGGGGACACUAGUCGAGGUGCUGCAUGGCUGUCGACAGCUCGUGUCGUGAGAUGUUGGGUUAAGUCCCGCAACGAGCGCAACCCUUGCCUUUAGUUGCCAGCACGUAAUGGUGGGCACUCUAAAGGGACUGCCGGUGAAAAACCGGAGGAAGGUGGGGAUGACGUCAAGUCCUCAUGGCCUUUAUGUCCAGGGCUACACACGUGCUACAAUGGGCGGUACAGAGGGUCGCAAACCCGCGAGGGGGAGCAAAUCCCAAAAAGCCGUCCUCAGUUCGGAUUGGAGUCUGCAACUCGACUCCAUGAAGGUGGAAUCGCUAGUAAUCGUGGAUCAGCAUGCCACGGUGAAUACGUUCCCGGGCCUUGUACACACCGCCCGUCACAUCACGAAAGCCGUUUGUACUAGAAGCCGGUGCUUUAACCUUCGGGAGAUAGCCGUCCAAGGUAUGAAUGGUGAUUGGGGUG